rnacentral:rRNA from 1 species
GAUUCGUCACACUAUCAUUAACUGAAUCCAUAGGUUAAUGAGGCGAACCGGGGGAACUGAAACAUCUAAGUACCCCGAGGAAAAGAAAUCAACCGAGAUUCCCCCAGUAGCGGCGAGCGAACGGGGAGGAGCCCAGAGCCUGAAUCAGCAUGUGUGUUAGUGGAAGCGUCUGGAAAGGCGCGCGAUACAGGGUGACAGCCCCGUACACAAAAGCGCAUGUGCUGUGAGCUCGAUGAGUAGGGCGGGACACGUGGUAUCCUGUCUGAAUAUGGGGGGACCAUCCUCCAAGGCUAAAUACUCCUGACUGACCGAUAGUGAACCAGUACCGUGAGGGAAAGGCGAAAAGAACCCCGGCGAGGGGAGUGAAAAAGAACCUGAAACCGUGUACGUACAAGCAGUGGGAGCACAG